rnacentral:rRNA from 5 species
UAUUGAGAGUUUGAUCUUGGCUCAGGACGAACGCUGGCGGCGUGCCUAACACAUGCAAGUUGAGCGAGGUUUCGAACCGAGCAGCAAACGGGUGAGUAACACGUAAGCAACCUACCUUUAAGACUGGUACAACCUGGAGAAAUCUGGGCUAAUUCCAGAUGUGACCCCGGUCUCGAAUGGGACUGGGAUUAAAUCCCGCAAGGGGCUUAAAGAUGGGCUUGCGUCCUAUCAGCUAGUUGGCGGGGUAACGGCCCACCAAGGCUAUGACGGGUAGCUGGUCUGAGAGGACGAUCAGCCACAAGGGAACUGAGACACGGUCCCUACUCCUACGGGAGGCAGCAGUGAGGAAUUUUCCGCAAUGGGCGAAAGCCUGACGGAGCGACGCCGUGUGUGCGACGAAAUCCUUCGGGAUGUAAAGCACUGUCAGUGGGGAAGAUAUUGACGGUACCCACAGAGGAAGGCCCGGCUAACUACGUGCCAGCAGCCGCGGUAAUACGUAGGGGCCAAGCGUUGUCCGGAAUCAUUGGGCGUAAAGGGCGCGUAGGCGGUUUUGUAAGUCAGAUGUUAAAUCCACAGGCUCAACCUGUGUUCGCAUCUGAUACUGCAUUACUAGAGAAUGGUAGAGGAAAGCGGAACUUCCAGUGUAGCGGUGAAAUGCGUAGAUAUUGGAAGGAACACCAGUGGCGAAGGCGGCUUUCUGGACCAUUUCUGACGCUGAGGCGCGAAAGCUAGGGGAGCAAACGGGAUUAGAUACCCCGGUAGUCCUAGCCCUAAACGAUGUUCAUUAGGUGUUAAAGGUAUCGACCCCUUUAGUGCCGCAGCUAACGCGUUAAAUGAACCGCCUGGGGAUUACGACCGCAAGGUUAAAACUCAAAAGAAUUGACGGGGGCCCGCACAAGCGGUGGAGCAUGUGGUUUAAUUCGAUGCUACGCGAAAAACCUUACCUGGGCUUGACAUAUUGGUAGUAGUGAACCGAAAGGGGAACGAUCCCGAGCAAUCGGGAAGCCUUUACAGGUGCUGCAUGGCUGUCGUCAGUUCGUGUCGUGAGAUGUUUGGUUAAGUCCAACAACGAACGCAACCCCUAUUGCCAGUUGACAGCAUUAAGUUGGUCACUCUGGCGAAACUGCCUCGGAUGACGAGGAGGAAGGUGGGGAUGAGGUCAAGUCAUCAUGGCCCUUAUGCCCAGGGCUACACACGUGCUACAAUGCAACAUACAAAGGGAUGCAAUUCCGCGAGGAAGAGCCAAACUCAAAAAGUGUUGCUCAGUUCGGAUUGAAGGCUGCAAUUUGCCUUCAUGAAGCUGGAAUCGCUAGUAACUGCAGAUCAGCGUGCUGCGGUGAAUACGUUCUCGGGCCUUGUACACACCGCCCGUCACACCAUGGAAGUCAGAAACGCCUGAAGUGCCCUUCGGGGAGCUAAGGUGGUGCUGGUGACUGGGGUGAAGUCGUAACAAGGUAGCCGUACCGGAAGGUGUGGCUGGAUCACCUCCUUUCUAAGGA